rnacentral:sRNA from 1 species
GCUAGGCUCUCCAGUCGGUCCGGCAGGCUCCCACGGGGGGUUCGGCGGCGGGCGCCGCUUUCCCGGCGACCCCCCUUCAGUGCGCGCCGCGCCGAGGGCAGAUCCGGUGUGAGCCGCCGCUGCCGCCGCCCCCUUGCCUCCUCCUCCCUCACGGGGUCCCUCCCACUGAGGCCCGCCUCGUAUUUCCUGGAUCCGGUCUCAGGGAGAGGUUGGCCAAAGAACUGCCGGCUUCAGGGCUUCCGUCGGACGCCUUCGCUCGCCAGACACAAAGAUGGCACCGCCCGGACCUGCGGUAGGCGAUCUCGCGAGGCUUUGCCCACGGGAACCAGAGGGCGGGGUCCCCACAGGAAAGCCUUUCACUGGGAAGAGUAAUUGACACAACCCAGGACACAAAUGGUGCUUUUUCUCUGCCAGACCUCUCUGCUCAGCUCCUGGUCUCCUUGACUUUUCACUGUUACUGUUAAUCAGUUGUUUUGAAUACCUUCCCAGAGAAGAUUUUAGAGCUUAUUUGUGGAAACAACUAGGAACUUGCUGGCAAGACUCUAUUGCUGAAGGUGCAUACUUGAGUCAUAGAAGAAAUCAAGCUGGUAUUGAUCUGGAAGCUUCAUAAACUCCAGCUACUUUUCAUCAUAUGGAAGUUUCUAUGAGUGUUAUUGGUGAAGAAAAGUAACCAACAGUAUUACCCAACUGAACUUUGCAUUCUACAGUAACAACUGGCCUGGCAAGAUACACCCAUGGAUGUCAAAUACCACGAGUGUUAUGGGAGUAACAAAUUGCUUUCUGAUUGGAUUUAAGGCCUGCUCUACAGACAGACCUCAUAUGUGGUAGUUUACUAGUACAAAGACCUGUGGAUAGGCCAUAGGCCAUAGGAGAGGUCCUCAUACUAUUAUUCUACUAAAUUGACACAGUAAUUAACUAUCCUCUAAAUUCUUAUCUUUAUACAUAUAGAUAAGCAUGCCACUCAACCCUCAUCAAAAAAGCUUUUUGUAGCAGAUGGUGAUUAAUAUAGAGACCCACAACUGGACAACGUGUAGAGAAUAAGACACUAUGAAUGUAUAACCACAAAUGGGACAUUUAUGUCUACUCAAAGCUCAGGGAUCAUUGCCAAAGAGAUGAUGAAAUGAUUGCAAGAGCCAGAGUUCCUGGACAUCUGCAGUGAAACUGUUUUCUAGACAUAAGAAAAAUGCACAAAUGAGCUCACAGUGACUGUUACUGCACACAUAAAACCUGCACUGGGUCAAUCUAGACAAAAUUCCCAACAUGAAUAACGAGGGGCUGGUAAAACGCUAUCCCCAGCUGAGGAGAUAUUGGCAAAUCAUGGCUUCUGGCAGAUGGAGAGGCAGUUUCCUUCAGGAAUAUGGUCCCUGAGAGACUACCUGUUGCAGUAAAUAAUAAAAAAGAUACUCCCACCCACGUUAUUGCAGGCACUGGUGCACCACAUUACAACUGCAGGAUAUUUUCAUCUCAAUCAGCAAAAUGUCUCCACCUGACUUGCCAAGUUACCAAUUUCCAUCCCACACUGUCACCAGCUACUCUGUGGGCCCUGCAGUGAUCUCACCGCUAUGGCUAGCCCCAGAAGUGACCACCCUUCUAUUUCUCAUGGUGCUGGCCACUGCCAUGCCUGCCACAUUCAGCUAUCUACCCCCUGUGGUUAUAGUCACAAUUCC